AACGGGUGAGUAACACGUGAGUAACCUGCCCCGAUGACCGGGACAAUCCGAGGAAACUCGGGCUAAUACCGGAUGUGGCGCACAGGCGUAAGCCUGUUCGCUAAAGGAAGCUUCGGCCUCCGCAUUGGGAGGGGCUCGCGGCCCAUUAGCUUGUUGGUGGGGUAACGGCCCACCAAGGCUGCGAUGGGUAGCUGGUCUGAGAGGACGAUCAGCCACACUGGGACUGAGACACGGCCCAGACUCCUACGGGAGGCAGCAGUGGGGAAUCUUGCGCAAUGCGCGAAAGCGUGACGCAGCAACGCCGCGUGGGGGAAGACGGCCUUCGGGUUGUAAACCCCUUUCAGGAGGGACGAAGGUUCACCGGUGAAUAGCCGUGUGGAUUGACGGUACCUCCAGAAGAAGCUCCGGCUAACUACGUGCCAGCAGCCGCGGUCAUACGUACGGGAGCAAGCGUUGUCCGGAAUCAUUGGGCGUAAAGCGCGCGUAGG
rnacentral:rRNA from 1 species